rnacentral:rRNA from 1 species
AGCGAACGCUGGCGGCAGGCCUAACACAUGCAAGUCGAACGAACUCUUCGGAGUUAGUGGCGGACGGGUGAGUAACACGUGGGAACGUUCCUUUAGGUUCGGAAUAACUCAGGGAAACUUGUGCUAAUACCGAAUGUGCCCUUCGGGGGAAAGAUUUAUCGCCUUUAGAGCGGCCCGCGUCUGAUUAGCUAGUUGGUGAGGUAAAGGCUCACCAAGGCGACGAUCAGUAGCUGGUCUGAGAGGAUGAUCAGCCACAUUGGGACUGAGACACGGACCAAACUCCUACGCGAGGCAGCAGUGGGGAAUCGUGCGCAAUGGGAGAAAGCCUGACGCAGCCAUGCCGCGUGAAUGAUGAAGGUCUUAGGAUUGUAAAAUUAUUUCACCGGCGACGAUAAUGACGGUACCCGGAGAAGAAGCCACGGCUAACUCCGUG